UACGGAGGGUGCAAGCGUUAUCCGGAUUCACUGGGUUUAAAGGGAGCGUAGGUGGGUCUGUAAGUCAGUGGUGAAAUCUUCGAGCUUAACUCGGAAACUGCCAUUGAUACUAUAGAUCUUGAAUUAUCUGGAGGUAAGCGGAAUAUGUCAUGUAGCGGUGAAAUGCUUAGAUAUGACAUAGAACACCAAUUGCGAAGGCAGCUUACUACGGAUAUAUUGACACUGAGGCUCGAAAGCGUGGGGAUCAAACAGG
rnacentral:rRNA from 1 species